rnacentral:rRNA from 1 species
UAGGGAAUUUUCGGCAAUGGGGGGAACCCUGACCGAGCAACGCCGCGUGAAGGAAGAAGGUCUUCGGAUUGUAAACUUCUGUUAUAAAGGAAGAAAGAUACUUGGAGGGAAUGCCAAGUAAGUGACGGUACUUUAUGAGAAAGCCACGGCUAACUACGUGCCAGCAGCCGCGGUAAUACGUAGGUGGCAAGCGUUAUCCGGAAUUAUUGGGCGUAAAGAGGGAGCAGGCGGCAAUAAAGGUCUGUGGUGAAAGACUGAAGCUCAACUUCAGUAAGCCAUGGAAACCAAAUAGCUAGAGUGCAUUAGAGGAUCGUGGAAUUCCAUGUGUAGCGGUGAAAUGCGUAGAUAUAUGGAGGAACACCAGUGGCGAAGGCGACGAUCUGGGAUGUAACAGACGCUGAGUCCCGAAAGCGUGGGGAGCAAAUAGG